rnacentral:rRNA from 1 species
AGUGAACGCUGGCGGUAGGCCUAACACAUGCAAGUCGAACGGCAGCACAGUAAGAGCUUGCUCUUACGGGUGGCGAGUGGCGGACGGGUGAGGAAUACAUCGGAAUCUACUUUUUCGUGGGGGAUAACGUAGGGAAGCUUACGCUAAUACCGCAUACGACCUACGGGUGAAAGCAGGGGAUCUUCGGACCUUGCGCGAUUGAAUGAGCCGAUGUCGGAUUAGCUAGUUGGCGGGGUAAAGGCCCACCAAGGCGACGAUCCGUAGCUGGUCUGAGAGGAUGAUCAGCCACACUGGAACUGAGACACGGUCCAGACUCCUACGGGAGGCAGCAGUGGGGAAUAUUGGACAAUGGGCGCAAGCCUGAUCCAGCCAUACCGCGUGGGUGAAGAAGGCCUUCGGGUUGUAAAGCCCUUUUGUUGGGAAAGAAAAGCAGCAGGUUAAUACCCCGCUGUUCUGACGGUACCCAAAGAGUAAGCACCGGCUAACUUCGUG